UACGUAGGGCGCAAGCGUUGUCCGGAAUUAUUGGGCGUAAAGAGCUCGUAGGUGGCUUGUCGCGUCUGCCGUGAAAGCCCAUGGCUUAACUGUGGGUCUGCGGUGGAUACGGGCUGGCUAGAGGUAGGUAGGGGCAAGCGGAAUUCCUGGUGUAGCGGUGAAAUGCGCAGAUAUCAGGAGGAACACCGGUGGCGAAGGCGGCAUCCUGGACCGGUAUUGACGCUGAGGCGCGAAAGCUAGGGGAGCAAACGGG
rnacentral:rRNA from 1 species